GAUGAAGAACGUAGCGAAAUGCGAUAAGUAGUGUGAAUUGCAGAAUUCAGUGAAUCAUCGAAUCUUUGAACGCACAUUGCGCCCGCGAGUAUUCUCGCGGGCAUGCCUGUCCGAGCGUCAUUUCAACCCUCAGGGCCCGCCUGCUUCGGCAGGCGCGGCGCUGGUGUUGGGGAUCGGCCUAACCGCCGUCCCCCAAAUACAGUGGCGGUCUCGCUGCAGCCUCCCCUGCGUAGUAGCAACACUCGCAUGCGGAGCGCGGCGCGGCCACGCCGUAAAACCCCCGACUUUCUGAACGUUGACCUCGGAUCAGGUAGGAAUACCCGCUGAACUUAAGCAUAUCAAUAAGCGGAGGA
rnacentral:misc_RNA from 1 species